UAGAGGAGCUUGGAGGAAGGGUGCAAUUCCCACAACCUGGGUUCAAUUCUUCACUUUGCUGUUAACACCAUCUUUGUGGGAAGUCUGUCAGUUGGGCUUAGGUCCAAUUGGUUUACCUGGAAAUCAGAAAUGCAGGCGGCCUGAUUACUCCCGGGCAUUAGUCAGAAAGCGUUAAUCUGGAUUCAGGCGAUGUGGUAGCCCAACACCUAGGUAUUGGCGACGAAUCCACAUUGUAACACUUUGGUGUGAUCCUCCCAGAGCUGACCGGAUCAGCCGAUCGGGUUUAUCAAAAAAAAAAAAAAAAAA
rnacentral:lncRNA from 1 species